rnacentral:rRNA from 1 species
UACGGGGGGAGCAAGCGUUGUUCGGAUUUACUGGGCGUAAAGGGCGCGUAGGCGGUCAGCACAAGUCAGUUGUGAAAUCUCCGGGCUUAACUCGGAAAGGUCAACUGAUACUGUGCGACUAGAGUGCAGAAGGGGCAACUGGAAUUCUCGGUGUAGCGGUGAAAUGCGUAGAUAUCAGGAGGAACACCGGUGGCGAAGGCGCUCAUCUGGCCCAAUACUGACGCUGAGGCGCGAAAGCUAGGGGAGCAAACGGG